CCUCGGGAGGCUGCAGUAGGGAAUAUUGGUAAUGUGCGAAAGCGCGAACCAGCAACGCCGCGUGCACGAUGAAGGCCUUCGGGUUGUAAAGUGCUUUUUAGAGGGAUGAGGAAGGACAGUACUUCUAGAAUAAGCCUCGGCUAACUACGUGCCAGCAGCCGCGGUAAAACGUAGGAGGCCAGCGUUAUCCGGAUUUACUGGGCGUAAAGCGCGUGUAGGCGGUUUCGUAAGUUGGAUGUGAAAGCUCCUAGCUUAACUGGGAGAGGUCGUUCAAGACUGCGAGACUCGAGAGUGGUAGAGGAAGGUGGAAUUCCGGGUGUAGUGGUGAAAUGCGUAGAUAUCCGGAGGAACACCAGUGGCGAAAGCGGCCUUCUGGACCAUUUCUGACGCUCAGACGCGAAAGCUAAGGUAGCAAACG
rnacentral:rRNA from 1 species